rnacentral:sRNA from 1 species
GUUUUUUGCUUUUUUUUU